AGACCUCGCCUUUCAGGCAUCCUCUCCUAAAAACUUCAUGGGCUGGCCUUCAUUGGCCGGCCCUUUUUUUUGUCUUUU
rnacentral:sRNA from 1 species